AAGGACAGAAAUAUGGAUUUGAAACAAAAGCCAUUUAAUUUCUUUUCAUUCCAUCCAAUCAAAUUUCUGUUUUUUUUCUUUAUUAUUAUUUUUUACUAAGAGCUUCAGAAAGUAACAGGAUGGCUUCUGUUGAUUGGAUUCAUAUUUUUCCCCUGCUGCAGCAGAAAAAUUAUUUCUCCUGAAAACAAUCUAGCUUUGUGAACUAGAGCUGGUAACUGUAAUGCCAUUUUCAGUGCGUACUCUGAUGUCUUAUUUAAUUCUUUCUGUGACAUUGUGAGUCAUCUAUGUCAUAUUCCCAUUUUAACUGGGAGAAAGUGAGGCACAGUCAUAAGGACAGUAAGAGAGAGAGCAGAAGACAAAGGUCUCAACUUCUAGAUAUGGUCACUUUGACUUGACUUCUUUAUAGAUGUGAUUGCAAUUCUUGAGGUGAACUGCAAUCAAUUCACCUCACCUAAGUCAGUGGUUCUCUAGGGGUCACCUAAGACUACUGGAAAAAUCACAAAAAUUUACAUUAUGAUUAACAAUAGUAGGAAAAUUACAGUUACGAAUUAGCCAUAAAAGUAAUUUAUGGUUGAGGGUGACUACAUGAGUAACUGUAUUAAAGCACCACAGCAUUAAGGUUGAGAACCACUGAUAGACGUCUACUUGAGUCUGUUUUAUAUUUCCUAAUGUCUAGUUCCUUUAAUCUACACUUAGUCACUGAAUGGGAACUGGAAGUCACUUCUUGUAUCAUCAUAUUGUUCAAGAGUAAUACUCUUAUAUCAGAUGUACUCAAUCUUUAUGUGCACUCGUGCUUGGGAAAAUGUGCUCAUUAGACUCUAGUGGAAAACCUAGUGACUCUCAAAGCACACACUUGUUUGUCAUGCUUAAAAUAAACCAUCAUUUCUCAAUGAAGUAUUAGUUGUUCCUUUAAUUCCAAAACUUCUUGAAGUAUAAACAAAUGUGUAAUUCCCCAUUUUAAAUACGUCUCUAUUUUAAAACUUAAAUUCAUAGGAGAGAAAAAUAAGUAACAAAGACCCUGGAAAUAGAGGCUUUCCAGAAAAAGAAAAAAACUCAAGUGAAUGUGACCUUUUACUCACAAAUAAUCAUGCUUGAAGUGAGUACUGGGCUACAGACAUGAAAUUGAAGGUCAUCCUCUUUAGUUCAGCCACAUUCUUUCUAGAAGAAUAAGAGUAAGAAUAAGAUAAGAAGAGAAGGAGAAAGAGGAAGUAGAAGAGAAAGAAAAGGAAGGAACAACAAAACAAAGAAAAGAAAAUGUCACUGAAGAAAAGCAGUUUAAAAAACAACAGAUAUCCCAAUACUUGAAGUCAGCACUUAUAUUCCAAGGGAAAUGCAAAUAAUGCAAACAUAACAGACCAUAAUAAAGCUAUCUACCCAGCCAGACUAAAGAAUCUUUCAUUCUCUCAUUUUUCCUGUGUUGGGUAAUAAAUAUAUUCCCAGGAGUAGGAGGGUGGUCCUGUGGAGUCUCACUUCACUCAUAGGCAGAGUCAAGGUAUUACUGUUCUGAAAUAUAUGCAAAAAAAUCCAAUAACAUCUGAAGCAGCCAAGGAGGCUUAUUUUAUUAAGAAUUUGAGUAAAUGUCAUUUUCCCAGGCCAAGGCAGUUCUGUAAGAGUGGAGGCUCGUGUUUGGGGAUUCCUCUGAAUCACCAGUGGUCACAGCUCAUUGCCUCAACCCAUCUCCUUAAUAUAUAUUAUGUUAUGUGUGGCUUAGGUCAAAAAGGAAGCUGAUCUUGGCUAUAUUUCUUCAUGAGGUUGGGGAGGAUUUUCAUUUGCUAUGUACCUCUGAGCUCUUGGACAUUCUCUCAUCACCCUAACUGCAAGUAUAUUGAGAUUAACAGCUUUCUUAUAUCAAUGCAUUGAAAGGACUUUGAUUUUCUUUAAAUUAAAUUUGAUUCAGUUACCAUGUUAGAUAGGUAAAUAUUCUUGUUGGAGGAGAGGGAUGAUACUCACAUUUAAAGGGAGGAGUAGCAUCAUUGUAGAAGAAGUGGUCUGCCUUGGCCUCUGCAGGAACUUGCACUCAAACCACACUUGCUUUAUCAUGCUUGUUUUUCUUGCCUUCCUUGUUUUCAUGGUCUCCAGUCCCCACAAUCCCCACAAUCAGUUCCUUUCCUCACCAGCCUCAUUUCUUUGUAACAUAUCAGUAGAGAGAGAUAAUUAAGGUCAUGCAGCCCCCAUCCUUUCUUCCCAAGUGUAUCAUCUAUGGUUACCUCCUGUCCUUUCUUCUAACGUGGGCACCAUCUAUUUUAGCUCUGACCAGAGUUGAGGAGUUAAUAUAUGUUGUUAAGAUUUAGAUAAUAAUUUCAAACUGAUCAGUCAUCUCAUCUUGGCACAUUACGUGUGGCUUCUCCCCACUGGCCACCAUGUGUGAGUGUCUCAAUCUUUUCUUCUACAGGAUUUGUCUGCUACCACCUUCCUGCUGAGUAACUUUCCAGAUGAUUCAACAUCAUGUCUUAUAAACAUAGGCCCCAGCUUUAGUAUCUAGAGAAACAUGGAAAUGACUGGUUUUUGUUACUGAGAUCAAUUUCAAACCAAGGCUUUACCCUCUUCUAUUGAUGGAUAUGCGGAAAAAGGAGAACAAGAGAAAUUCUUAUUCUGUCAUACAGCUUAAAGAAAUUACCCUCAGAGGAUCCUCUAGUUACCAUGGAGCUACAGCCCAAUAAAUCCCUCACAAGGUCAGAAUAAAAGCCAAUGGGUAAGUUGAAAAUGAGUUAACUCUAGCUGUAUUACUGGAUAUGAGAGCUUAGGAA